GUGGAUUAGAUACCCUGGUAGUCCAUGCCGUAAACGAUGAGUGCUAAGUGUUAGGGGGUUUCCGCCCCUUAGUGCUGCAGCUAACGCAUUAAGCACUCCGCCUGGGGAGUACGACCGCAAGGUUGAAACUCAAAGGAAUUGACGGGGGCCCGCACAAGCGGUGGAGCAUGUGGUUUAAUUCGAAGCAACGCGAAGAACCUUACCAGGUCUUGACAUCCCGAUGACCGCUCUAGAGAUAGAGUUUUCCCUUCGGGGACAUUGGUGACAGGUGGUGCAUGGUUGUCGCCAGCU
rnacentral:rRNA from 1 species